AUUGAACGCUGGCGGCAGGCUUAACACAUGCAAGUCGAGCGGGGGAAGGUAGCUUGCUACUGGACCUAGCGGCGGACGGGUGAGUAAUGCUUAGGAAUCUGCCUAUUAGUGGGGGACAACAUCUCGAAAGGGAUGCUAAUACCGCAUACGUCCUACGGGAGAAAGCAGGGGAUCUUCGGACCUUGCGCUAAUAGAUGAGCCUAAGUCGGAUUAGCUAGUUGGUGGGGUAAAGGCCUACCAAGGCGACGAUCUGUAGCGGGUCUGAGAGGAUGAUCCGCGACACUGGGACUGAGACACGGCCCAGAAUCCUACGGGAGGCAGCAGUGGGGAAUAUUGGACAAUGGGGGGAACCCUGAUCCAGCCAUGCCGCGUGUGUGAAGAAGGCCUUAUGGUUGUAAAGCACUUUAAGCGAGGAGGAGGCUAUUCUAGUUAAUACCUAGGGAUAGUGGACGUUACUCGCAGAAUAAGCACCGGCUAACUCUGUGCCAGCCGCCGCCGUAA
rnacentral:rRNA from 1 species